rnacentral:rRNA from 1 species
CCUACGGGUGGCAGCAGUGAGGAAUAUUGGUCAAUGGACGGAAGUCUGAACCAGCCAUGCCGCGUGCAGGAAGACGGCUCUAUGAGUUGUAAACUGCUUUUGUUCAAGGGUAAACCUGAAUACGUGUAUUCAGCUGAAAGUACUGUACGAAUAAGGACAGGCUAAUUCCGUGCCAGCAGACGCGGUAAUACGGAAGGUCGGGGCGUUAUCCGGAUUUAUUGGGUUUAAAGGGAGCGUAGGGCGGCCUUUAAGCGUGCCGUGAAAUUUUGUGGCUCAACCAUGGGAGUGCGGCUGAAACUGGAGACCUUGAGUGCGCAGAGGGCAGGCGGAAUUCAUGGUGUAGCGGUGAAAUGCUUAGAUAUCACGAAGAACCCCGAUUGCGAAGGCAGCCUGCCGCAGCGUUACUGACGCUGAGGCUCGAAAGCGCGGGUAUCGAACAGGAUUAGAUACCCUUGUAGUC